rnacentral:lncRNA from 1 species
GCAAAAGGAUCACAAAAUCGCUAGGGAAUUAUUAAUAAUGCACCUAUGAAGAUUGUAUGCAGAAUAACAAUUACAAACCUUGAUGAUUCAGGUGAGAGGCUACUCAGAAGGUAGAUUGGAUCCAGAAUAACAAUUGCAAACCUUGAUGAUUCAGGUGAGUCACUCAGAAGGUUGCCAUGACUACAUCGGCGUUGCAUAGUUGAAUCGGAAGACUUUGAUUGCCAAGGUAGAUUGGAUCCAGAAUAACAAUUAGAAACCUUUAUGACUCAGGUGAGAAGCCACUCAGAAGGUUGCUUGGGCGUCACUACAUCUGGCUUGGUGACAUUACGUAGUUGAAUUGGAAGACUGAUUUUGUUGGUAGUGUGCUAGCUAGGUAGUAGAUUUGGCUGACUUCAAUUUUUGGGCAUGUGCUGGGUGCGGUUGCAUGUAUGUGUUUUUAUGUGCCGUGUUUGCCUUGGCAAGUCAUGUUUGUAGUCCGUAUACACGUCUUAUUUGCAUGUGUGUCCGAGUUUGAAAAAAAAUGAUGUCCUUAUUUGCUUAGGUUCCUUAUUUAUUUAUUUAUUUAUUUAUUUAGGUUUGACUACUAUUUUUAUCCUAAUUACAAUAUAAUUGUUUUUAUCCUAAUUACACAUGAUGGAACAUGGAUGUGUUGGUCCGUUAUAUGCACGUACACGUUAUAUGAACGUACACGUGACAACACAACUUUUCUCGUUUACGUGUUG